rnacentral:lncRNA from 1 species
GGGUACAAACUGAACAAAAUUCUUGAUCCCACAAAACGACACCGUUUGGAUCAACAAUACUCCCAUCUUUUGUAACCUCUCUCUUCACUGUUCUCCUCAAUGAACCAAGAGUGAUCUUGGGUCCUUUCCACUUGAUCUCCACAACCCUAUGAUAAUCUUUCUCUGUGUCCGCAUGUACAGGAUCACAACCCCCAAAUUCCAUCUUCUUCACCACCAAUUUCACCUCAAACUUUCUUGAUAAUAUUGGUGGCCAAGGUCUCCAUUUCAUCAUCUUUACCACCAUUUUGGGUCAAGAUUUGAUGGUGGGUGUGUUAAAGAUUGAAACUUUAUAGCAAUUCAGAUGGUGGGUGUUGAUUUUCUUGAUGUUUUAAUGUUGGGUUUUCAAGGAUUAGGGGAAGAAUGAGUGUAUAUUGGGUCAAGAUUGAUGAGGGGUGUGAUGAAGAUUGAAAAAGAUUGAAGCUUUGGAGAAAUUGAGGAGAUGGGUGUUGUUUUUCUUGAGGUUUGAGUGUUGGGUUUUCAAGAAAUGGUGAAUGUGUAGUGUUGUAAGUUGUGAUCUUUUGAGUUAAAUUGUCGAUGAGUUUGAGAGAUGAAACUGAAUAUGGUGGUGUU